GGGGAUGUGGCUCAUUGGUAGAGCUUUUGUCUUACAUGCAGGAGACCCUGGGUUGAAUCUCCAGUACCACCA
rnacentral:tRNA from 1 species